GCAGACACAUUCCAGCCAAUCAGCAGCAGACCCUCCCUCCCAGACCCUCCCACCUCCUGGACAGCAUCCAUUUUACAUUCAUUGUGAAGCUGCAUUCUUAGUGAGCUGUCCAGGAGGUGGGAGGGUCUGGGAGGGAGGGUCUGCUGCUGAUUGGCUGGAAUGCGUCUG
rnacentral:miRNA from 1 species